rnacentral:rRNA from 1 species
CCUUCGGGGUACUCGAGUGGCGAACGGGUGAGUACACGUGGGUGAUCUGCCCUGCACUUUGGGAUAAGCCUGGGAAACUGGGUCUAAUACCGAAUAGGACCACGCGCNNNNNNGUGUGUGGUGNANNNCUUUUGCGGUGUGGGAUGGGCCCGCGGCCUAUCAGCUUGUUGGUGGGGUAAUGGCCUACCAAGGCGACGACGGGUAGCCGGCCUGAGAGGGUGACCGGCCACACUGGGACUGAGAUACGGCCCAGACUCCUACGGGAGGCAGCAGUUGGGAAUAUUGCACAAUGGGCGCAAGCCUGAUGCAGCGACGCCGCGUGAGGGAUGACGGCCUUCGGGUUGUAAACCUCUUUCAAUAGGGACGAAGCGCAAGUGACGGUACCUAUAGAAGAAGCACCGGCCAACUACGUGCCAGCAGCCGCGGUAAUACGUAGGGUGCGAGCGUUGUCCGGAAUUACUGGGCGUAAAGAGCUCGUAGGCGGUUUGUCGCGUUGUUCGUGAAAACUCACAGCUUAACUGUGGGCGUGCGGGCGAUACGGGCAGACUAGAGUACUGCAGGGGAGACUGGAAUUCCUGGUGUAGCGGUGGAAUGCGCAGAUAUCAGGAGGAACACCGGUGGCGAAGGCGGGUCUCUGGGCAGUAACUGACGCUGAGGAGCGAAAGCGUGGGGAGCGAACAGGAUUAGAUACCCUGGUAGUCCACGCCGUANACGGUGGGUACUAGGUGUGGGUUCCUUCCUUGGGAUNNNUGCCGUAGCUAACGCAUUAAGUACCCCGCCUGGGGAGUACGGCCGCAAGGCUNNNA